ACUUAAGCAUAUCAAUAAGCGGAGGAAAAGAAACUAACAAGGAUUCCCUUAGUAACUGCGAGUGAAGAGGGAAGAGCUCAAAUUUAAAAUCGGGCAUCUGUCCGAGUUGUAAAUUAGAGAAGUGUUAUCUGCGCUGAACUGUGCAUAAGUCUCUUGGAAAAGGGCAUCAUAGAGGGUGACAAUCCCGUCUUUGGCACAGACUCUCAGGGCUUUGUGAUGCACUCUCAAUGAGUCGAGUUGUUUGGGAAUGCAGCUCUAAAUGGGUGGUAAAUUCCAUCUAAAGCUAAAUAUUGGCGAGAAACCGAUAGCGCACAAGUACCGUGAGGGAAAGAUGAAAAGUACUUUGAAAAGAGAGUUAAACAGUACGUGAAAUUGUUGAAAGGGAAACACUUGAAGUCAGACAUGUCCUUCAGAAAUCAACCUGACCGUCAGGUCUGGUGCACUUUCUGUUUGGAUGGGUCAGCAUCAAUUUUGAUCAUUGGACAAAGGUUAAGGGAAAGUGGCAUCUUUGGAUGUGUUAUAGCCCUUGGUCAUAUACAAUGGUUGGGAUUGAGGAUUGCAGUGCUUUCGGGUACUAAGGAUGCUGGCAUAAUGGCUUUAAUUGACCCGUCUUGAAACACGGACCAAGGAGUCUAACAUACAUGCGAGUGUUUGAGUGGAAAACUCAGACGCACAAUGAAAGUGAAAGUUGAGAACCCUGUCAUGGGGUGCAUCGACGCCCGGACCUGACCUUUUGUGAUGGACCUGCGGUAGAGCAUGCAUGUUGGGACCCGAAAGAUGGUGAACUAUGCCUGAAUAGGGUGAAGCCAGAGGAAACUCUGGUGGAAGCUCGUAGCGAUUCUGACGUGCAAAUCGAUCGUCAAAUUUGGGUAUAGGGGCGAAAGACUAAUCGAACCAUCUAGUAGCUGGUUCCCGCCGAAGUUUCCCUCAGGAUAGCAGACACUCAUGAUCAGAUUUAUGUGGUAAAGCGAAUGAUUAGAGGUCUUGGGGUUGAAACAACCUUAACCUAUUCUCAAACUUUAAAUAUGUAAGAUGAAACUGUUUCUUAAUUGAACUGUUUCGCGAUUGAAGAGUGUCUAGUGGGCCAUUUUUGGUAAGCAGAACUGGCGAUGCGGGAUGAACCGAACGUGAAGUUAAGGUGCCGGAAUCUACGCUCAUCAGACACCACAAAAGGUGUUAGUUCAUCUAGACAGCAGGACGGUGGCCAUGGAAGUCGGAAUCCGCUAAGGAGUGUGUAACAACUCACCUGCCGAAUGAACUAGCCCUGAAAAUGGAUGGCGCUCAAGCGUAGUACCCAUACUUCACCGUUAAUGUAGCAGCGAUGCAUUAACGAGUAGGCGGGCGUGGAGGUCAUGCUGAGAAGGCUUGGCAGUGAUGCUGGCUGGAGCGUCCUCUAGUGCAGAUCUG
rnacentral:rRNA from 1 species